AUGCCAGCGCAGGAGCCGAGGUCUGUGGUGUGUAUUCUUCCAGCCAGUGUGAUCCUACUUUGGAGGGGCCUUCCCAGAAAUGAAGGCCUUUGUGGAGGAAGGAAGACAAAGCUCGUCCCUAACAAAAGCUUUUUCUCGCCUGCUAUGCUGGUGCUUUCUCCAUGCUCCAUUCCCACCUCCACAAGCCUCCCUGACCUCAGUCUCGGGAGGAGGAGCCCCCUCAGCAUUUUGGCUGAGGUUUCUCCCAGCCAGGCUCUGCAGGGAAGCCACAGGCAGAUGUGGCGGUCGAGGCCAUCUGGAAGGCGACCGUGGCAGGCAAGCAGAGUGAUGCCACUCGCACCUCAGGCUUGGUUCCUCCAAGCGCUCAGCCCCUUGUCGCGGGAUGGGAGCAACAGCUGCAGAAAGAGCCAGCUGCCCCAAGAGAGCAGCUAUGGAAAUGAGAUGCAGGAAAAUACAAAGGUAGAGCCACCACGAAAGUGUCAACAGAUGGGGCUGCAACGGCCUGACCUCAGGGAGCACGUCUCCGUGGGGCAGCAGGACCUUGUUUCCUACUUUGAUCCAGUUUGCUACGUGACCCAGGGAAACUCUGUUUAAUGGCUUUGAAGAGAAACUAUCACAUGGAGGCUUUGUAUGGGCUCUGGGCCAGAUUUGUUCUCUGACAUUCCCUAGCAACUGCUAAUAUCACUGUGUGCCUCUCCUGGAUGGCUCUGACGGGAGAGCUGGGACCGCUGGUGCCUUCCUUACUCUGCAUGUCUGUAAUCUGAUUUGUUGUAAAAAGAGGGUAGGGGUGGGAAGACUGCUUCCACAGCCUUGUCUGCCAGACUGCUCUCACCCCUGCUGUCAGCAAGCAGCGGUGCAGAGGGGAAGUGCUAGUUUUAAGGCAAGGAUUAUUAUCCAAAGGGUUCCUAGCCCCUGUAUGACCCUGAAGGUUUUUCCACUGACUGCAAGGAGUGAAAUCCUACAACUGAGAUGUUCAACAAAUGUGCGUAGUGGUCAAGAAUGUUGCUCUAUCAGCUUUAGGACGCUGCUUGAUUAUAAAACAACUUUGAUUAUGUGGGGGUUGAAUCUAAUGGCAAUUUAAAGGCCACAUCAUCAAGGAGAACAUGUCAGCGCAGCUUUUUCAGUCUGAAAGAUGUGAAGUAACCCAGAUGAAGUGCAACCUUGUAUGUGCUUAGUCCACUACGGGCUUAAUUAGAUCAUUUUAUCCAUGAGCAGCAUUUGAAGUUGGACUUCAGUGCUAAAUGACCAUGGAGUCAUCAUGAGUUUUGUACAGGGAGGUGCUCUGUGCCUUCCCAGGGCUCAUCGUAGUGGAGCAAUGUCCAUUGAGACACAAAGUCCAGCACAACCUUGUGCACAACUCUUUCCUCUCAGCCUCCCCAGAUAUCAGCAGUGCUGAGCACUUCCAUUGCACGCUACCAGAAGAGCAGGUCAAAAUGGUCUGAAGCAGAUAGACGCUAAAUAAAAGCAAAGUUCAAGGUUUUAAAAAGCCA
rnacentral:lncRNA from 1 species